CCCGGUCGUAACGUUACGUACGAACUACUAGGACGUCCGUAACGAACGCGGGGUAGGGCGAAACAACGGAACGUAGUAGUAACCUACCGGUUACGGUUACGUACCGCCGGUAACCGGUAAACGUACGAGGUUAGGCGUACGUAAGAUUAGGGUAAGGGACGUACUAAAGUUAACGUUACCUCGUUAGUUACGUCCGACGCGUAACCGUACCGAACUAAAGUACGACUACCCGGCCCUACCGGGGAGGGUAACGGUAACCCGGACCCAAACGGGUUAGGUAAAACGUACCUAAACGGAAAAGGUUAUACGGGGGGACCCCGGGCCGACAAACGACGGUCGGAGGCAUGUGGUUUAAGUUUACGUAAGACAACGACGAGAACCGUUACCUACGGCGUUGUACAUACUCGUGCUAUUCCUACGAGAUAGGAAGGUUACCUUCCGGUACGACGGAGUACAGGUGGUGCAUGGUUGUCGUCAGNUCCGUGUCGUGAGAUGUUGGGUUAAGUCCCGCAACGAGCGCAACCCCUAUUGUUAGUUGCCAUCAUUAAGUUGGGCACUCUAACGAGACUGCCGGUGAUAAACCGGAGGAAGGUGGGGAUGACGUCAAAUCAUCAUGCCCCUUAUGACCUGGGCUACACACGUGCUACAAUGGAUGGUACAACGAGU
rnacentral:rRNA from 1 species